GGUGGUUCUCAGUUGACACACUCUGGACUUGGGCUCCCUCCUCUCUGGUUCCCAGUGUGACACCCAAGAACUGCA
rfam:Myotis davidii contig35432, whole genome shotgun sequence.